GAUGAACGCUGGCGGCGUGCCUAAUACAUGCAAGUCGAGCGAACGGACGAGAAGCUUGCUUCUCUGAUGUUAGCGGCGGACGGGUGAGUAACACGUGGAUAACCUACCUAUAAGACUGGGAUAACUUCGGGAAACCGGAGCUAAUACCGGAUAGUAUUUUGAACCGCAUGGUUCAAAAGUGAAAGACGGUCUUGCUGUCACUUAUAGAUGGAUCCGCGCUGCAUUAGCUAGUUGGUAAGGUAACGGCUUACCAAGGCAACGAUGCAUAGCCGACCUGAGAGGGUGAUCGGCCACACUGGAACUGAGACACGGUCCAGACUCCUACGGGAGGCAGCAGUAGGGAAUCUUCCGCAAUGGGCGAAAGCCUGACGGAGCAACGCCGCGUGAGUGAUGAAGGUCUUCGGAUCGUAAAACUCUGUUAUUAGGGAAGAACAUAUGUGUAAGUAACUGUGCACAUCUUGACGGUACCUAAUCAGAAAGCCACGGCUAACUACGUGCCAGCAGCCGCGGUAAUACGUAGGUGGCAAGCGUUAUCCGGAAUUAUUGGGCGUAAAGCGCGCGUAGGCGGUUUUUUAAGUCUGAUGUGAAAGCCCACGGCUCAACCGUGGAGGGUCAUUGGAAACUGGAAAACUUGAGUGCAGAAGAGGAAAGUGGAAUUCCAUGUGUAGCGGUGAAAUGCGCAGAGAUAUGGAGGAACACCAGUGGCGAAGGCGACUUUCUGGUCUGUAACUGACGCUGAUGUGCGAAAGCGUGGGGAUCAAACAGGAUUAGAUACCCUGGUAGUCCACGCCGUAAACGAUGAGUGCUAAGUGUUAGGGGGUUUCCGCCCCUUAGUGCUGCAGCUAACGCAUUAAGCACUCCGCCUGGGGAGUACGACCGCAAGGUUGAAACUCAAAGGAAUUGACGGGGACCCGCACAAGCGGUGGAGCAUGUGGUUUAAUUCGAAGCAACGCGAAGAACCUUACCAAAUCUUGACAUCCUUUGACAACUCUAGAGAUAGAGCCUUCCCCUUCGGGGGGGCAAAGUGACAGGUGGUGCAUGGUUGUCGUCAGCUCGUGUCGUGAGAUGUUGGGUUAAGUCCCGCAACGAGCGCAACCCUUAAGCUUAGUUGCCAUCAUUAAGUUGGGCACUCUAAGUUGACUGCCGGUGACAAACCGGAGGAAGGUGGGGAUGACGUCAAAUCAUCAUGCCCCUUAUGAUUUGGGCUACACACGUGCUACAAUGGACAAUACAAAGGGCAGCGAAACCGCGAGGUCAAGCAAAUCCCAUAAAGUUGUUCUCAGUUCGGAUUGUAGUCUGCAACUCGACUACAUGAAGCUGGAAUCGCUAGUAAUCGUAGAUCAGCAUGCUACGGUGAAUACGUUCCCGGGUCU
rnacentral:rRNA from 1 species